rnacentral:rRNA from 1 species
GUGAGGAAUAUUGGUCAAUGGGCGGGAGCCUGAACCAGCCAAGUCGCGUGAAGGAAGAAGGAUCUAUGGUUCGUAAACUUCUUUUGCAGGGGAAUAAAGUGCAGGACGUGUCCUGUUUUGUAUGUACCCUGAGAAUAAGGAUCGGCUAACUCCGUGCCAGCAGCCGCGGUAAUACGGAGGAUCCGAGCGUUAUCCGGAUUUAUUGGGUUUAAAGGGUGCGUAGGUGGUUCGAUAUGUCAGCGGUGAAAGUUUGCAGCUUAACUGUAAAAAUGCCGUUGAAACUGUCGGACUUGAGUGUAAAUGAGGUAGGCGGAAUGCGUUGUGUAGCGGUGAAAUGCAUAGAUGUCACGCAGAACUCCGAUUGCGAAGGCAGCUUACUGAGCUACAACUGACACUGAAGCACGAAAGCGUGGGGAUCAAACAGGAUUAGAAACCCCGGUAGUCC